CCUGCAGGUCGACGAUUAGAGUUUGAUCCUGGCUCAGAAUCAACGCUGGCGGCGUGCCUAACACAUGCAAGUCGAACGAGAAAGUGGAGCAAUCCAUGAGUACAGUGGCGACCGGGUGAGUAACACGUGACUAACCUGCCCUCGAGUGGGGAAUAACUCCGGGAAACCGGAGCUAAUACCGCAUAACAUCGCAAGAUCAAAGCAGCAAUGCGCUUGAGGAGGGGGUCGCGGCUGAUUAGCUAGUUGGUAGGGUAAUGGCCUACCAAGGCAAAGAUCGGUAUCCGGCCUGAGAGGGCGCACGGACACACUGGAACUGAAACACGGUCCAGACUCCUACGGGAGGCAGCAGUGGGGAAUUUUGCGCAAUGGGGGAAACCCUGACGCAGCAACGCCGCGUGGAGGAUGAAGUCCCUUGGGACGUAAACUCCUUUCGACCCGGACGAUACUGACGGUACGGGUGGAAGAAGCACCGGCUAACUCUGUGCCAGCAGCCGCGGUAAUACAGAGGGUGCGAGCGUUGUUCGGAAUUAUUGGGCGUAAAGGGCGCGUAGGCGGUCGGGUAAGUCACCUGUGAAAUCUCCUGGCUCAACUGGGAGCUUGCAGGCGAAACUGCUUGACUGGAGUGUGGGAGAGGUGCGUGGAAUUCCCGGUGUAGCGGUGAAAUGCGUAGAUAUCGGGAGGAACACCUGUGGCGAAAGCGGCGCACUGGACCACAACUGACGCUGAGGCGCGAAAGCUAGGGGAGCAAACAGGAUUAGAUACCCUGGUAGUCCUAGCCCUAAACUAUGGAUGCUUGCUGUGACGGGGUACCCAAUCCCGUCGUGGCGCAGCUAACGCGAUAAGCAUCCCGCCUGGAGGAGUACGGUCGCAAGGCUGAAACUCAAAGGAGUUGACGGGGGCCCGCACUAGCGGGGAGCAUGU
rnacentral:rRNA from 1 species